rnacentral:rRNA from 1 species
CAUGGAGGGUGAGAAUCCCGUUCGGUUGAUCAGGUCACUUUACGAUACGUCAUCAAAGAGUCAAGUUGUUUGGGAUUGCAGCUUAAAAUGGGAGGUAAAUUUCUCCUAAGGCUAAAUAACGGCGAGAGACCGAUAGCGAACAAGUACCGUGAGGGAAAGAUGAAAAGAACUUUGAAAAGAGAGUUAAACAGUACGUGAAAUUGUUGAAAGGGAAACGAUUAAAGCCAGUCGUACCGACGAGAAAUCAACUCUUCGAGUGCGGGCUUGUGGGCAUGCGGGUGUCUCGUUGUUUGCAACGUCUGUGCUUUUUGGGUGUACUUUUUCGUAUGGUAGGCCAACAUCAGUUUCGAUUAUCAUAAAAUGACCGGAGGAAUGUAGCUUCGAUUUCGAUUGAAGUGUUAUAGCCUUUGGUAGAUGUGGUGAUGGAGACUGAGGAUUGCAACGAAUACCCUUCGGGCUAUCCGUCUGACCUCUGAAAGUUGCUUAGGUGCCGAAAGCGUGCUUACGGUCAUUUAACGCGACGGUCAAAAGGUUAGAACGUGAUUACAUUCGUUAAGGAUGUUGACGUAAUGG